rnacentral:misc_RNA from 1 species
GAUGAAGAACGUAGCGAAAUGCGAUAAGUAAUGUGAAUUGCAGAAUUCAGUGAAUCAUCGAAUCUUUGAACGCACGUUGCGCCCCCUGGUAUUCCGGGGGGCAUGCCUGUUCGAGCGUCAUUUCACCACUCAAGCCUCGCUUGGUAUUGGGCAACGCGGUCCGCCGCGUGCCUCAAAUCGACCGGCUGGGUCUUCUGUCCCCUAAGCGUUGUGGAAACUAUUCGCUAAAGGGUGUUCGGGAGGCUACGCCGUAAAACAACCCCAUUUCUAAGGUUGACCUCGGAUCAGGUAGGGAUACCCGCUGAACUUAAGCAUAUCAAUAAGCGGAGGA